AUUAUAGUAAGGCACUAGAAAAAUCAAGAAGUUAUCACAACGAACCAGAAGGAUUAUCUAAGCAUAUACCUUCAAGUAUAACAGAUAAAAUUUUAUUAAAAUAAAAUAAUACCAUAAUAGAGUUAUUAUUAGACUUACAUAAAAAGAUAGAUAUUCUAAUUAAGGGCAAAGAAACUCAAAAACCUUUUCAGCAAGAACCGGAAUUACCCGAACUACAUAAGAAAAUA
rnacentral:lncRNA from 1 species